CCUUUUCUCAUUCAUAUUAUGCAGCAUUGCCCUUCUCUGUACUUUAUCCUAUUUCAGAGCUGUCAUGCAAACAAACCCAACUAAAAAAAAAUCAUUGAAGAAGUGUGCAUCCUAUCAGCCUUCUGUCUCAGUUCCUGCUCUCACUCUGUGUGCAGGGAGAAAUCUCUUCUCCUGUUUGCCCUCUUUUUUUUCCUCAAUGUUUUCACUCUUUUUCUUAUUUCUGUGAUUCCCCAGGGAGCUCUAGUCUGCUCCUCUAGCCCGCUUAACCCCUACUCACUUCCUCCCCACAUUUAUGUUAAUUACUAUUCCAAGCCCAUGGAGCUACUGUUUUUUAGAGCAUUUUUAUGUUUUCUCCCUUUAUUACUCCAGAAAUAGUAAUUAUCUUUUUCUGUAAAAUCUGUCCUGCCAAGCACACUAUCCUGCUAGGACACCCUCUUUCCUUUGUCUGCCUGACUACAUCCAGAUGAAUUAGCCAGUGCAUCUCCUUCCUCCACCCCUGGAAUAUCUGAUUGAUUUUAACACAAUUUCUUACUCUCAUAUAUCAUCUGAAUCAGCUUUUAAGGAAGACUCAGACAUGAGUCUUCAGCAUGCAUUGACUGUUUGGUUUGAUUUUUUUUUUGUUAUUUGAGUAUGCUUGCCAGUCUACCUUAUCCUAGCAUUCUUCACCAUGCCCAAAAUUUCUGCUCUUGUAGGUCUACCCCAAUUCAUGUCCUUGCUUUUUCAUCAUUUGGUUAUGCUGAACAGUCAUCCUUCUACAAGGUAAGCAGCAUGGGUUUUCAUGAGGUUGUCAUGUUGGCCACAGAAAAGAAGUCCUCUUUAGCAGAGGCUAAACAUGGAGAAAGUGCAUCCAUCUCUGGGGUUCACUGAUGGACAGUUACUGAUGCAAAGGGGAUGUCAGCAGGGAGCAUCAUUUGUUCUUCCUCUCAGCAAGAGUGUAUGGCAUAUAUUUGUUUUCCUGAGCAACAGCAGUAAAUUUAUCUCAAACACAUCUAAAAAGCCUCCCUGAAAGGGGAGGCCACAGAAAAAAAAGAGGAAAAAAACCCACUUAAUUACUAUCCUAGGAAAUGGAAAUAAAAUGGGAUAAGGCUCAAAAGAGCAAAAUGCAGUAGAAUGACAGAGUAUUUUCUUCUUGCUGAAGAUCAAGCUCUUUGUUAGAACUCAGGUGAUGAGCUGGAGAGACUGAGACACACCGAAGCAGGUAUGAGAUAAUAGGUCAAAGCUUUCACCUGUAAUUCUCUGGUAUCCUACAAAGACUCCUGACUGAACCUUAUCCAAAGACAAGUAUGUCUUGGUAGCAAGACAUCAAUUUGUGCUAAAAAUAACUAUUACUUGCUUCACAGGCUCAUGAAAAAGCAUCUCUCUGGAUAGCAAGAGACCAGCAAAUCACAGCUCCUCUGUAGUUUCCACUCAGCCCAGGCACCAGAACAAGUGUGGCUGCAUCUUGAAUGAACCGGAGUUUUUCACAGCACACCUGCUCCCAUUCAUCCAUUCCUGGCUGAACAAAUGUUUUCCUUGAUUAAAGGACUACAGACAGUGUCAGAACACAGUUUUGGCAGAACUGGGGAUCUUCCGAGGUGUGGAGGAGGUGUCUCCUGAGCGUGUGACUGCAGUGAAUCCCAGGGAUGACUGAUGGCCACAUGAUACUGGUGCCAGUGACCUGCGCUGCUGAGAAUCAAUAAGGACUUCAAGCCUGAUUGCUUUGGGGAUUUCUGGCAAUUUCUGAAGAUGUACAAUGGAAUGUGUCAUGUCUUCUCUGAAGAUUAUUUUAUUUCUCCAUGAGAGAAGCAACCAUGUGAAAGAAGACAAAAGAACCUGGAUCCACUAUGUCUAAGGACUCUGGCCUGCCCAGAUUUGGUGAUAAACAAGACCACCACUGACUUCAGCAAGGAAUGAAAUCAAGGAAGAAUUUCAGCUAAAACUGCUCGAAACAGAAGUGCACCUGAGCCUGCAAAGUCACAGAUUGAGCACAGCUCUCAAAAGUCAGAGAAAAUUAUGCACAGAUGUUUGUCGCUAAGAAUGCCUUGGCUGAAUUGGUGUGAUGACACAAAGGAACAGAUGGCACAGAGCUGUCCCUGCUCUUCAGGACAUCAAUGGCUGGAAACAAUGACAAUACCACCCUGGCUCCUUCCAAAUUAUGGAGACCAGCAAACAAAUUAGCCUGACUAGCAGAUCUCAGAAGAGUGUGCUGAAGUCUGCCUUGGACAGCUGUAAAGAUUAUGUGACUAGAGGUCACACUGCUAGUGAAAGAGUCACUAAGAUCUCCUAUAAGUCAGAGUAUACAGCCCUCUCUACCUCAUCCCUUGGGAAGCCUGUUUGUGCCUGUCUCUCUCUCCCAGUUCCAGACUGGAGAGGUGAAGAAAAGCUGCCAUGCCAGCCCCAGGGCUCUUCAGGUGACACGGGGACCUGUGAGAGUUAAAGGAGCCUUGCCUGUUGUACCACGUCCUCCCUCUUCCAAUCUUGAUUGUGCACAUUUGCUUGUGACAUGGGUCUUAAUCCUGAGGUGCUCUAGGAUUAUUUCCUGACCAGUUUCGAAACGGUUUGUAUAUUCUUCAAGAGGCAAUUGUGCAAGGACUCUUGAGAAGAUGCAUCACCACUGAUGUGCAGUUUUACACCCAGGUGUAGAACAAUAUUCCACCAACACCUGUUGAUGACAUAGGGUUUAAAGCACAAACCAUGAAUUAGAGGUUCUUCCAUGUGAACAUUUAGGACAUUUAGCCUACAGCCAGUGCUGCCAAAGUCUGGAUGAAACUGGAAAGACACCCAAGGAGAUGACUGGACAGCUGAUAUCUGGAAAGUGCUGAGUCUCUUGUGAAGCAUGUCUGGCAAAGAUGGCAAUGGAAAUACUGGAAGCUGUUCAGAGGAAGAAUGCU